rnacentral:piRNA from 1 species
GCAACAGAAGGUGCAGACUGUGUUGGU